rnacentral:rRNA from 1 species
GGAGUUAGCCGGUGCUUCUUCUGUGAGUGAUGUCCUUCCUGCCGGCUAUUAACCCGCAGGCCUUCUUCCUCACUGAAAGUGCUUUACAACCCGAAGGCCUUCUUCACACACGCGGCAUGGCUGGAUCAGGGUUGCCCCCAUUGUCCAAUAUUCCCCACUGCUGCCUCCCGUAGGAGUCUGGGCCGUGUCUCAGUCCCAGUGUGGCUGAUCAUCCUCUCAGACCAGCUACGGAUCGUCGCCUUGGUGAGCCGUUACCUCACCAACCAGCUAAUCCGACAUAGGCUCAUCCGAUAGCGCGAGGCCCGAAGGUCCCCCGCUUUCCCCCGUAGGGCGUAUGCGGUAUUAGCCUGGGUUUCCCCAGGUUAUCCCCCACUACCGGGCAGAUUCCUAUGCAUUACUCACCCGUCCGCCGCUCGCCACCAGGGAGCAAGCUCCCCGUGCUGCCGCUCGACUUGCAUGUGUUAGGCCUGCCGCCAGCGUUCAAUCUGACCAAGAUCAAAUUCUGA